rnacentral:rRNA from 1 species
GCAUUUCGGCAGCUACACAUGCAGUCGAACGGUAGCACAGAGGAGCUUGCUCCUUGGGUGACGAGUGGCGGACGGGUGAGUAAUGUCUGGGAAACUGCCCGAUGGAGGGGGAUAACUACUGGAAACGGUAGCUAAUACCGCAUAACGUCUCAAGACCAAAGAGGGGGACCUUCGGGCCUCUUGCCAUCGGAUGUGCCCAGAUGGGAUUAGCUAGUAGGUGGGGUAACGGCUCACCUAGGCGACGAUCCCUAGCUGGUCUGAGAGGAUGACCAGCCACACUGGAACUGAGACACGGUCCAGACUCCUACGGGAGGCAGCAGUGGGGAAUAUUGCACAAUGGGCGCAAGCCUGAUGCAGCCAUGCCGCGUGUAUGAAGAAGGCCUUCGGGUUGUAAAGUACUUUCAGCGAGGAGGAAGGUGUUGUGGUUAAUACCCGCAUCAAUUGACGUUACUCGCAGAAGAAGCACCGGCUAACUCCGUGCCACAGGGGGCAAAUAA